ensembl:snRNA U6 U6 spliceosomal RNA
UUGUUUUGGCAACACAGAUACAAACACUGGAACAAUACAGAGGCCCCAGUACAAGGAUGACACGCAAAUGUAUGAAGAAUUCCAUAUUAAA